rnacentral:tRNA from 1 species
GGGUGUGUAGCUCAGUUGGUAGAGCACUUGACUUUUAAUCAAGUUGUCCGGGGUUCGAACCCCCGCACGCUCACGA